CAGUACUUCACCAGUAUGCAGUCUCUUCAGGACCAGCAUAAUGAAUAAUUGCUUAUGGGCACCACUUCCCAACAUGUCAUGCUCCAGCUGGCUCAGAGUCAAACACUCUUAAGAUGAAGCCCUGCAAGCUAGGACCUGCUGCAUCUGCGGGCAGCUGCUGGAUACCAGACAUCCCUGCAGUGAACAGCACAGCAAAGGCCUCCUCAUCUACAAUACCUGAGCAUCUCUUGCUACCACAGAGUGAGAACCCUGAGGUGGUUCAAUUCAUCACACCUCUGUUCAGAGAGGAGCAGAUACUCUCUGCAGAACAGAUGGACCUUGUGCUCCAAAGCGGAAAUGGAUAUAGGUAAUAUCCAGAAAUAGAAGGUGGCACUAAUUCUGCUCAUCACACUAUUCACAAGUCUCUCUCUGAAGGAGCUUGCUGUCAAGUCCACA